CCAGCGAUUAGGUCGGGAACUCAAAGGAGACUGCCAGUGAUAAACUGGAGGAAGGUGGGGAUGACGUCAAGUCAUCAUGGCCCUUACGACCAGGGCUACACACGUGCUACAAUGGCGCAUACAAAGAGAAGCGACCUCGCGAGAGCAAGCGGACCUCAUAAAGUGCGUCGUAGUCCGGAUUGGAGUCUGCAACUCGACUCCAUGAAGUCGGAAUCGCUAGUAAUCGUGGAUCAGAAUGCCACGGUGAAUACGUUCCCGGGCCUUGUACACACCGCCCGUCACACCAUGGGAGUGGGUUGCAAAAGAAGUAGGUAGCUUAACCUUCGGGAGGGCGCUUACCACUUUGUGAUUCAUGACUGGGGUGAAGUCGUAACAAGGUAACCGUAGGGGAACCUGCGGUUGGAUCACCUCCUUACCUGAAAGAA
rnacentral:rRNA from 1 species